rnacentral:rRNA from 1 species
UACAGAGGGUGCAAGCGUUAUUCGGAAUCACUGGGCGUAAAGAGUUCGUAGGCGGUUUGUUUAGUCGAAUGUGAAAGCCCUGGGCUCAAUCCAGGAAGUGCAUUCGAUACUGGCAAGCUAGAGUGCAGGAGAGGAGAGCGGAAUUCCAGGUGUAGAGGUGAAAUUCGUAGAUAUCUGGAGGAACAACAGAGGCGAAGGCGGCUCGCUGGACUGUCACUGACGCUGAGGAACGAAAGCGUGGGGAGCAAACAGG